rnacentral:rRNA from 1 species
UACGUAGGGGGCAAGCGUUGUCCGGAAUUAUUGGGCGUAAAGCGCGUGUAGGCGGUCCGGUAAGUCGGCUGUGAAAGUCCAGGGCUCAACCCUGGGAUGCCGGUCGAUACUGGUGGACUAGAGUCCGGAAGAGGCGAGUGGAAUUCCCGGUGUAGCGGUGAAAUGCGCAGAUAUCGGGAGGAACACCAAUGGCGAAGGCAGCUCGCUGGGACGGUACUGACGCUGAGA